GAGUUUGAUCCUGGCUCAGGACGAACGCUUGCGGCGUGCCUAAGAAAUGCAAGUCGAACGGGGUGGAUUUCGGUCCAUCUAGUGGCGAACGGUCGCGUAACACGUAAGCAACCUGCCCAGAAGUUGGGGAUAACAGAUCGAAAGGUCUGCUAAUACCGAAUGUGGAUUAUCUACGGCAUCGUAGGUUAUCUAAAGCUUAAUGUGCUUCUGGAUGGGCUUGCGGCCUAUCAGUUAGUUGGUGGGGUAAUGGCCUACCAAGACAUUGACGGGUAGCUGGUCUGAGAGGACGGCCAGCCGGAUUGGGACUGAGAUACGGCCCAGACUCCUACGGGGGGCAGCAAUUAGGAAUCUUGCACAAUGGGGGAAACCCUGAUGCAGCGACGUCGCGUGGAGGAUGAAGGCAUUCGUGUCGUAAACUCCUUUUGCCAGGGAAGAAAAAAAUGACGGUACCUGGUGAAUAAGCCCCGGCUAACUACGUGCCAGCAGCCGCGGUAAUACGUAGGGGGCGAGCGUUGUCCGAAGUUACUGGGCGUAAAGCGCGCGUAGGCGGCUUUUUAAGUUUGAGGUGAAAGGUUCAGCGCUCAACGUGAACAGUGCCUUGAAUACUGGGAAGCUUGAAUGUGGCAGAGGGUCAUGGAAUUUCCGGUGUAGCGGUGAAAUGCGUAGAUAUCGGAAGGAACACCAAUGGCGAAGGCAGUGACCUGGGCUAACAUUGACGCUGAGGUGCGAAAGCGUGGGGAGCGAACGGGAUUAGAUACCCCGGUAGUCCACGCCGUAAACGAUGAGUGCUAGGUGUAGGCGGUAUCGACCCCGCCUGUGCCGCCGCUAACGCAAUAAGCACUCCGCCUGGGGAGUACGGCCGCAAGGUUGAAACUCAAAGGAAUUGACGGGGGGCCGCACAAGCGGUGGAGCAUGUGGAUUAAUUCGUCACUAACCGAAGAACCUUACCCAGAUUUGACAUCGCGUGAAAAGCUGUGAAAGCAGUUCCCCUCGCAAGAGGCACAAAGACAGGUGUUGCAUGGCUGUCGUCAGCUCGUGUCGUGAGAUGUUGGGUUAAGUCCCGCAACGAGCGCAACCC
rnacentral:rRNA from 1 species